CCUACGGGUGGCUGCAGUGAGGAAUAUUGGUCAAUGGUCGGGAGACUGAACCAGCCAAGCCGCGUGAGGGAUGAAGGUACAGAGUAUCGUAAACCUCUUUUGUCAGGGAACAAAGACGGGGACGUGUCCCCGGAUGAGUGUACCUGAAGAAAAAGCAUCGGCUAACUCCGUGCCAUCAGCCGCGGUAAUACGGAGGAUGCGAGCGUUAUCCGGAAUUAUUGGGUUUAAAGGGUGCGCAGGCGGCUCGGUAAGUCAGCGGUGAAAGCCCGGGGCUCAACCCCCGCCCGGCCGUGGAAACUGGCAGGCUCGAGUUGGAGAGAAGUAUGCGGAAGGCGCGGUGUAGCGGUGAAAUGCAUAGAUAUCGCGCAGAACUCCGAUUGCGAAGGCAGCAUGCCGGCUCCACACUGACGCUGAGGCACGAAAGCGUGGGUAUCGAACAGGAUUAGAUACCCUUGUAGUC
rnacentral:rRNA from 1 species